UACAGAGGUCUCAAGCGUUGUUCGGAUUCAUUGGGCGUAAAGGGUGUGUAGGUGGCGCGCUAAGUCGGGUGUGAAAUUUCGGAGCUUAACUCCGAAACUGCAUUCGAUACUGGCGUGCUUGAGGACUGGAGAGGAGACUGGAAUUCAUGGUGUAGCAGUGAAAUGCGCAGAUAUCAGGAAGAACACCAAUGGCGAAGGCAGCUCUCUGGGACGGUACUGACGCUGAGACGCGAAAGCGUGGGGAGCGAACAGG
rnacentral:rRNA from 1 species